UGGGGAAUAUUGCACAAUGGGCGCAAGCCUGAUGCAGCCAUGCCGCGUGUAUGAAGAAGGCCUUCGGGUUGUAAAGUACUUUCAGCGGGGAGGAAGGGAGUAAAGUUAAUACCUUUACUCAUUGACGUUACCCGCAGAAGAAGCACCGGCUAACUCCGUGCCAGCAGCCGCGGUAAUACGGAGGGUGCAAGCGUUAAUCGGAAUUACUGGGCGUAAAGCGCACGCAGGCGGGUUGUUAAGUCAGAUGUGAAAUCCCCGGGCUCAAACUGGGAACUGCAUCUGAUACUGGCAAGCUUGAGUCUCGUAGAGGGGGGUAGAAUUCCAGGUGUAGCGGUGAAAUGCGUAGAGAUCUGGAGGAAUACCGGUGGCGAAGGCGGCCCCCUGGACGAAGACUGACGCUCAGGUGCGAAAGCGUGGGGAGCAAACAGG
rnacentral:rRNA from 1 species